AUGGGGGAUCCCGAGGCGGCGGCGUACCAUAGCUGGCUGCAGAGUGAAGGGAUGGAGUUGUUCGUGAGAAGGCAGACGGAGGAGAGGCAUGCCCGAUUGGACGACUGGCCGUCGCCCGACGAGAGGGCCGUAUGCGCUCGUAGCUACCGCAACGGCUGGAACCAAAUGUGGGCAUGCCAACGAGGCACCUACGAGGACACCACGGCUAUCCCGGCCAUGCGUUAUACGGACGUCAAGCCACCAGCAUGGCGUCACGUUGAUCCGACAGGAACUCUGCAGAUCUUUUCCUUCAAAGUCGCGGCGAUAGCAGAGGAAUUGCAGUGGCCACUGGAUGUGUAUGGCUUGAUCGCGAUAAGAGAUCACCUAGACCGCAACCGCAAUAUCAUCUUUGCUCGCGCGAGGGAUAACUGCCAAACCAUCAGUUUGGAGAAUCCUUAUUUAACACUAACAGGCCCAACUCGAGCUGUUGUGUUAUCUGAUGUGUCGAAUUCUGUGCGCUUUGAGGUUGUGCUGAAAGUGAAGAGCGGCAUUUAUGAAUCCGAAGAUAAAGAUUUGAGCUUCUUAGCAGUAAAGUACAAAACAUCUGCAUGGAAUCAUUCAUGUGUGAUUAACCUUGUUGCCACUAGCAAACUUUCCAAACUAGAAUGGACAUUCGUUCGCCUUGCUAAAUCUGUGGAGGCUACAAUCAAUAUACAAGUUAUUCAUGGGUCAUGGCCAGAUGGUUGUCGAGGUAUAUUCAGUGCAAGUACCAAAAGUCUAGAUGGCAUGAAAGUUUUGCUGCUCUCUCUUGAAGAUGACAAGUUACCGGUUACUACUGAUGGCAUGGUCAAUCUCGCACGCCAUGUUGCUUGCGUUGAAAUAAAGGGAGAACUGAAAAUUUCUGUUGCAGCCGAAUAUUCUGGGAAACAGUUUACGACACACAAUGAAACGGUUUUCUCACCUAGGGAAGCCGGUAGAAGUUCUGGUAUUCUUAAGGUUCACUCAUGUGUGAUGAAAGUCAUUGUUGCAUGGUCACUUGUUUGCUCAUCUAGAUAG
rnacentral:rRNA from 1 species